ensembl:lncRNA
CGACCAGUCACUACAACAUCACUACGACCAGUCACUACAACAUCACUACGACCAGUCACUACAACAUCACUACGACCAGUCACUACAACAUCACUACGACCAGUCACCACAACAUCACUACAACAUCACUACGACCAGUCACCACAACAUCACUACGACCAGUCACCACAAGAUCACUACGACCAGUCACCACAAGAUCACUACAACCAGUCACCACAACAUCACUACACCCAGUCACCACAAGAUCACUACAACCAGUCACCACAACAUCACUACACCCAGUCACCACAACAUCACUACACCCAGUCACUACAAGAUCACUACGACCAGUCACCACAAGAUCACUACACCCAGUCACUACAAGAUCACUGCGACCAGUCACCACAACAUCACUACACCCAGUCAUUACAAGAUCACUACGACCA